rnacentral:rRNA from 1 species
GAUGAACGCUGGCGGCGUGCUUAACACAUGCAAGUCGAACGGUGAAGCAGGAGCUUGCUCUUGUGGAUCAGUGGCGAACGGGUGAGUAACACGUGAGCAACCUGCCCCUGACUCUGGGAUAAGCGCUGGAAACGGCGUCUAAUACUGGAUAUGUGAUGUGACCGCAUGGUCUGCAUCUGGAAAGAAUUUCGGUUGGGGAUGGGCUCGCGGCCUAUCAGCUUGUUGGUGAGGUAAUGGCUCACCCAGGCGUCGACGGGUAGCCGGCCUGAGAGGUUGAACGGCCCCACUGGGACUGGGACACGGCCCGGACUCCAACGGGAGGCAGCAGUGGGGAAUAUUGGACAAUGGGCGGAAGGCUGAUGCAGCAACGCCGCGUGAGGGAUGACGGCCUUCGGGUUGUAAACCUCUUUUAGCAGGGAAGAAGCGAAAGUGACGGUACCUGCAGAAAAAGCACCGGCUAACUACGUGCCAGCCGCCGCGGUAA